CUGUUGGAUCACUUGAACGAUACUCAUUCUCACACAUAUUUUCAAUUAGCAUUUUCACCUUAUAUUCAUUUUUGUUUAUCAAAGUACCUCCUUCUGAGGCAUCCAGAAGCAUUCUUGUUGGAGUUUUUAGCCCGCUGAUGAAGUGUUGCAUCUGUUCCAUAAUACACAUAUUGUGAUUUGGAAACUUUUGGAGCAACAACUUGAAUCUCUCCCAUGCAUAAGAUAAUGACUUAGAUUCACAUGCAUCAAAGUUUGAAAUUUCAACUUUCCUCUAUACAAGCUGAGCAUUGGAGAAAUACCUCUCCAUAAAUUUGUCUUCCAGUUCCUUCCAACUUUGGAUUGUACCAUUCAGAAUAGAUUGCAACCAAGGAUUAGCGCAACCUAUCAAAUAAAAACCUAACGGUCGUAAUUUUACCUAAUCAUUCGUCACAUAAUUUGGAUUGCACGUUGAACAUGUCGUAUAAUUUUGCCAAAUGCUUCAAAGGAUCUCUGAUAGCUUGCCCAUCGAACGAGUUAUCUUUUAAACCUGAAAGUGCAUACUUUUUUUAUUUCAAAAGUUACAGGGUUAGUUGGUUGAAAACCUAAGGAUAUUUGUCUAGCAUCAUUCCUCCUACAAUAACCCCCUAUCAUUUUUCGUGGUAGAUUAUCCAUCUUUACUUCAAGUUCUUAUUUAGCUUGAAGUGCUUCUCUUUUUUCCUUCCGAAUUGCUUGAGAUGUUCUUUUGAUUUUUGAAUCAAACAAUGUCAACUUCAAAUUUGAACCUUGCAUACACAGAUAAACAAUACAUCAGUAUUUCUACACCAAACAAAAUUGAAUAAGUUUGAAAAAUAAAAGGCUUAUAUUGGUACCCCUACAUUGAUUUUGAUAACUUUUGUUGUCUCCAUUAAAAAUAACCAGUUUUUUUGUCCCAUAGUAUCAGAUUUCAUGUUUUUAGGUGGUCCCCUUUUACAUGUCAUGCUCAUUCGCAGAGGUGGCAUUGGAACUUAUGAGUUGGCAUCUUUUUAAUGUUAUCAUGUCAUUAAAAUAUAAAAAACUUAAUUAAUUAAAAUAUAUUUUCAAAUUAAAUUUCUAAUUUGUGAUUAAAAAACAACAAGAAAAAACUUAUUAAAUACUUGAGAAUGGCAACAAUCAUUUAUCAUUGUUUCAGCUUCUUGCUCUAAACGAGUUUCCUCUCAAACAAAAUAUGAAACCCUAAGGUAAUCCUGACAUGAAACCAGUUGGACUUAUUGCUGAAAUAGUUGAUAAAUGAUGUGUGAUAUUUUUAGUUGACCAGGCAUAUAGAGAUAAAAGAAGAGCAGUAGAAUUAAUACAAGGAAAACCACUUUCCAACAUACUUAUUCACAUAUCAUAUACCCAACUAAUGAACCACCAUUUUUUUCAUUUAAAUAAUUAAUUAUCAUUCCAUCAACCAUUGAUUAUAAGGGAAAUUGGACGUCCCAAAAAGCUAAGGAACAAGAUCAAUGAUGAGCUAAGAAACUCACAUGUGCUGCCAAGAAGACUUGCAAUUGUUACAUGUUACAAGUGUCGAGCCAUAGGACAUAACAUGAGAAGUUGUAAGGGAAAGAGAGUUGCUGAUAUGGCCAUACCAAAAGGUAGAAACCUGACCAAGAAGUCUAAGACAAAGACCAACUCUGAUGGAAAAAAGAUCAAGAAGACAAACACUGAAACUGAAAUUGGCUCUUCAUCACAAACACCAAUUCCUACACAACCAGCCUAAGAAUAGAUUUAGGAUGUUGAAGUACUUUUUAUAAUUUUUGUAAUGUCUACCUUGAAACACUUUAUAUCAUGCCUCAAUUUAUUUUGUAAUGUUUGUUUAUGUCAUGCAUUGCAGUUUGUAAUGAACAAGUAUCGUCAUGCAUUAUAGUUU